GUCCACGCCGUAAACGAUGGAUACUAGCUGUUCGGAGCAAUCUGAGUGGCUAAGCGAAAGUGAUAAGUAUCCCACCUGGGGAGUACGUUCGCAAGAAUGAAACUCAAAGGAAUUGACGGGGCCGCACAAGCGGUGGAGCAUGUGGUUUAAUUCGAUGAUACGCGAGGAACCUUACCAAGGCUUAAAUAGGGGAGUUGACCGAUUUGGAAACAGAUCUUUCGCAAGACAAUCUUCAAGGUGCUGCAUGGUUGUCGU
rnacentral:rRNA from 1 species